UUAUAUGUUCAGUAUGUGGUAUAAUUGGUGUAAGGAAGCAGGAUGUAGCAGUUAUAUUAUAUUUUCUCUAAAGCUCUAACAGUCUUUUUCAGAAAGAAUGAGAUGGCUGCUUAUGUAUCCUCCUGGCGGUUCAUCUCGUGGGUCACCCGUGAAGUACACCAAUUAGCUCUCUUCCUUGUCUGCCUCCCAGCUACUGCAAUGUGUGAGAGGACGACGAAUCCUUCUCUGCAGUUGGUUGCAUCCACUGUAGUUAUGUAUGCCACUUCCACCUUUCAUUACUAUAGCAAAUACAACCAACCACAGAGGGGCUCAUACACCUUCCAUGCAUUACCUGCCAUACACUGCCGCCAAGCUAGUCAUCACAGCUGCUGGGAGGCAGACAUGGAGGAAACAAUCAGCGAGCUCUAACCCCAAGGGAACUGUGGGAUGAUCACUCAAAAGGAUACAGAGGCAGCCAUCUCAGCACGCUGCCUCAUUCUCUAUGAAGAAGUCUGUUGAAACAGAGGAAAUAUAGUACAGCUGCUGCAUCCUGUGUGUCUUUCACCAAUCAUUCGUCACACUUUCAAUUAACGUUUGCAGUAAGUAUUUAAGGGAAAAGUGAUGGCAUGAGCAGUAGUCUGUCUGUCUCCCCUUUAUCCCUAUUGGCUCUGCUCUGCCAACCAAAACAGAGGAGAACAGAGGGGGGUAGAAAUGAAGGAGAGAGAGGUUAUGAAUUCAGUCAGUAUAGUCAACACAUACAUAGUAAAGAAAGAUAUGAGGCCCAUAACUGGAAAUGUUUCUCACUUAUGUUCCCCACUUGGGUGGUGGGUAGUGUUGGGUAGUGCCACCCAUCGUCAGCACACAACAGGUGUAGGCAUUGUGGUGGUGGGACAGCAUCCAUCACCUUCAGUAGCUGCUGAACAAUUUGGCCGGUGCCGUGGCAGGGUAAAACCAUCCAGCAGCUCUGCCAGCAUCCUGUAGCCCAGCUGCACGUCCUGAACAACUCUGAAGAGCUGGUAUCAACAAUGCCAUAUACUCGUGCUGAGUGAGUCCAUAACACCGUGAGCCAAGCCAAUCCACCGUAAGACUUUCUGGCGAGACCCACCGUUGUUCUGAACUACGCUACCAAGAUGCAGAGUGACUGAAAUGGCUGUUGACUGGAUGCUCCCCUCCACUGGCUGACUGACUGCCUCCUGUGUGGUUGUGAUUAGACACCCUAUUUAAAUCUUCCUUCCUUCUUGCUGCCUCGCCUCAAGAGUGGUGGGGUUUCUGUUGUCCUCCUCUUCCGUUUCCUUGCUUCCUGGAUUUCUUGGUCCUCAAUGGUUGGGUUCGUGGUGUUUUCCUCCUCCUCUUCUUUCUUGUCUCCUUCCUGGUUCUCAAUGGUUAGGUUCCCGGCAUCUCCUCCUUUUCUGGUUCUUAAUGGUUAGGUCUCUUUUCCUCGUACUUAGUGUGUUGUUAUGUUCUUGGCACUCCUCCUCCCCUGUCUCUUGUUGGUUGGUUAGGUCACCUGCCUGCUGCAUUACUAAGACUGAAGUGUUAAAUAAAGAAAAACAUCUGUUGCUAACUAAAUAAAAGAAUAAACAACAAAUAACAAUACUAUCACAUAAUUAAGUGCUCCUCUGCUUAAUGUAGCCUAAUCAUCAUGCAUUACUUUGACUGGAGUACUUUAAAUAAAUAAAACC